UGCUGGAGUCACUAUUUGAAGAGACUGGUCCCCAGUGAGAAUUUUCAUAAUGGGAUCCUAGACCACUGUGGUUCAGAUCUGGCUGUUUUUUGCUGCUGUUCGGUACUUCUCCGUUGGUCACCGGCUGUUUGGUUGUGACAGUGCUGCCUCCUGACUGGCCGUUUAAUACUUUAGGAGUAGAUCCCAGGUUUGCAGCUAUAACUGGUAACUGCUGACCUCGUUUCAGAAGCUGUUUCUGUUCCUGGUGUCGAAAUCGCGGUGGUACUUCACGAGGAGGGUAUCGAGGCAAGGUUUGCUGCUGCUGAUUGUUGGCUGUGGCCCGCUUGGCAUUAUUAUUAGUGCUGGUUGCUGUGGAAGUGCCGUUAGAGGUGACAGGCUGAGGCUGGCUUACACUUGUCUUGGUUUGUUCUGGCACUUUGAUUUUUUGUUCAAUGGCCUUUUUUUGAGCAGCUUCCUUCUUCUUCUUGUCUUCUUUUCUCUUUUUCCUUUCUUCCAUCAACUGUUCUUCCUCUUCUUGCACUAAAUCCCUGCUUAGUUUUCUUUCGACUUCUUUGGUAGCUUUAGCUUCCAACUCUCUCAUGUAUGUAAAGUGCUCGGAGUCCGGCCCGGCGUAGCUGCGGCCCGGGCCCGGCGCUGGCGCGGCGGCUCUAGGCGGCCUGGGCCCGGCACUGCGGAGCGGGAGGGCCCGGCAGCUGCUGCUGCAGCACCGCCGCCAUUUCCUGCCUCCUAACCCGGCCGGGUCCGG
rnacentral:lncRNA from 1 species